rnacentral:rRNA from 1 species
GUCUACAGCCAUGCUACCCUGAACAAACCCGAUCUUGUCUGAUCUCAGAAGCUAAGCAGGAUUGGGCCUGGUUAGUACUUCGAUGGGAGACCACCUAGGAAGACCAGGUGCUGUAGGCG